ensembl:lncRNA
CUAUAGGUUUAGCAUUUCAAGGAGCAUUCAGAGGUUCCCAAAGCAUUUCUCUAAGCAUCUGACUCUGCAGCUAACUGUACUCAGGACAGCAGAAUUGUGGCGACCCAAACACACCUGGUUCCUUCUCAGUUUUGAUGCUUGUGGAGGCUUACGUUUUUUGAUUCAGUUGCAUGGAAAUCACAGAAUUGCAAGGGUUGGAGAUCAUGGGCUUUAUGAAGGAAUUGAUGUUUAAGUAAUAGAAAUUAAAGUUACUUAAGGUCUUGAUAGUAUUGCUUUUACUGUGAUGAAGCCUUCUACGCUGCUUCCCCUCUUAAAGUCAUAAACAGAAGGUUUCUGGAAGUUUGUCAGGACCUAUUGAAGCAAUGUGAGACUGAAGAUGACAGUUUCCUGGAUCACAGCAAUGCUAGUGAUGCAAUGUGGUGUCACCACUAUGAGCCAGAAUCAGAACAGCAGUCCACGGAGAGAUGACGUGUGAAUUUCCCCAUCAAGGAAAAAGUUUAUGAAGCAACUUCAGCAGCUAAACUGAUAUGUGCUGUCUUUUGGGAUAGGAAGGGGUAAUCUUUCUGCAUUUCCUGGAACCUGGACAGACCAUCAACUCUCACCUCUACAUCCUGAAACUGACUAAGUUGAACACUUGGACUUCCAAAGUUUGAUCAGAUAAGAAGACAACCUUUUCUUGCAACAAUAUAGUGCCAGGCCCCAUUUGAAAACUGUGGAGCAUGUUGCCAGUCUUGACUGGACUGUCCUACCACAACCAACAUAUAGUUCUUCUGACUUCCAUCUGUUCAGGUUGAUGAAAAUGGACUGUAUGGGAAAUAUUUUCCUAGCAACAAUGCUGUCAUAGCAUCUGUGAAACAGUGGGUUACCUCCAUUGGUGCAUAUUUUUACAAGCGUGGCAUGCAGGUUCUUAUUCAUCACUGAUGAAAAUGCAGAGCUAAUGGUGGUGACUGUGUUGAAAAAUAGAUUUUUUUAGCUGAGAAUUUGCUCUAUCCAAUAGUGUUACUGUGCUUUCUGUAUCUGCUAUAGUUUCCAUGGAAAUAAAUAGGAGGAAUUAGUUUCUGAGUGACCUAUGUAUAUUCUACUUCAGUUAGUUUCCAUGUGAUCUGAAUCAUGCCUCAUGCUAUACAUGAAAGCAGAAAAACAUAAAGCUGAUAUGUUAAUGCUGGAUGUGGCUCUGGGCAGCCUGAUCUAGUAGUUGGCGACCCUGCCCGUGGCAGGGGGCUUGAAACUAGAUGACCUUUGAGGUCCUUUUCAACCCAGCCAUUCCAUGAUUCUAUGCUGUAAUGUGGAAAUUAAAAUGAUGUGUUGCACAUGCACACUGAUGAGGAGCUGGAGUCCUUGGAUACAAGAUAGUAUUUGAAGACUUCAAGAGAAAAUGGGGUAACAGAAGAAUUAAAAGGACCAACAGUGUGUCUCCAUACUGAUAUUUCUGAUGUGCAUCCCCACGUCAGUUUAAAAGUCUCACAGUGUAUUACCCUAGCAGUGUAACUGAGG